CACGUAGUUAGCCGGGGCUUUCUGGUGAAGUACCGUCACACCAUCAUCAUUACCUAUGAUGGCUAUUCUUCCUUCACAACAGAGUUUUACAAUCAUUAAGACCUUCAUCACUCACGCGGCAUUGCUCGUUCAGGGUUUCCCCCAUUGACGAAUAUUCCUAACUGCUGCCUCCCGUAGGAGUUUGGACCGUAUCUCAGUUCCAAUGUGUCCGAUCAGCCUCUCAGCUCGGAUAUGCAUCGUAGUCUUGGUGGGCCAUUACCUCACCAACUAACUAAUACAACACAAGCCCAAUCCUGAGGUGAAGCCGAAGCUCCUUUUAGCAUAAAUAGUUAUCUAUCUAUGAAUCAUCCGGUAUUAGCUAUCGUUCCAAUAGUUGUCCCAGUCCUUAGGGUAGUUACCUGUGCAUUACUCACCCGUCUCGCCACUAAGUGGAAAAUCCAAAUCCAAAUUUUGUGCUAAGCACGCAAUUUCCAUUGGGCCAUUCGUUCGACUUGCU
rnacentral:rRNA from 1 species